AACGUAGGUACCGAGCGUUAUCCGGAUUUACUGGGCGUAAAGCGCGUUCAGGCGGUUUGGCAAGUCGGGCAUGAAAUCUCUCGGCUCAACCGGGAGAGGUUGUCCGAUACUGUCAGACUGGAGGGCAGUAGAGGGUGGUGGAAUUCCGGGUGUAGUGGUGAAAUGCGUAGAGAUCCGGAGGAACACCAGUGGCGAAAGCGGCCACCUGGACUGCACCUGACGCUGAAACGCGAAAGCUAGGGGAG
rnacentral:rRNA from 1 species